CGGACUUGGCUCAAGUGGCAGCUCUCAGCGCAUCCUGUUCUCUCUUUCUCUCUCUAGGGUUUCGUCGGGAAGAGUCAGCGAGAGUCGACAGAACCCGAAGCGCGAUUCGAACUGCUUGAGUAGGCCAAUGGAGGAUGAAACUAAUGCCAAGAAAGAAGAGGAGGAAUUCAACACAGGACCUCUCUCUGUUCUGAUGAUGAGUGUCAAAAAUAAUACACAGGUGCUUAUCAAUUGCAGGAACAACAAGAAGCUACUUGGCCGUGUAAGAGCUUUUGAUCGCCACUGUAACAUGGUUCUUGAAAAUGUUAGGGAAAUGUGGACCGAGAUACCCAAGACAGGCAAGGGAAAGAAGAAAGCACUUCCAGUCAACAAGGAUAGAUUCAUCAGUAAGAUGUUCCUUCGAGGGGACUCUGUCAUCAUUGUACUCAGGAAUCCCAAGUGAGGAUCUGAGAUUCGAUGAGGGAAUGGCAUGUCACGUAGUGCAUAUUAUCAGAUUCUUCAUCACCACCCCGGUGCAUCUGCUGAUGACUUGCAUGAUGAUACUCUUUAAUGUUCAUGGAAAUCGCAGUUUUGUCCGUCAUUCCUCGGAGAGUGAUGGCAGAUUGUUCUCGAUAAGGUAGCAUUAGUCGUCUGAAGUGACAAAUAAUAAUACUUUCAUGGCAACACAGAUUUGGUAUUGUUUCCUAGAGAUGGCCGACAAAUUGGAUUUGCAUGAAGCAAACUAGGUUGUGUUAUCACAUCGUCAGUCAGAAUAAUGGUCAAUUAUAAGAGGCGGUCAGUUGGAUUUUGGAAUGGCUUAUUAUGGUAACAUUAAUUGACAACAGAGAAAAAGGAUAAAAGCGUUGAAAUUGUUUGUUAAAUGGUCAUUGUAUCACAGGAAAGACCACUGUUAUUGAGUUGCAUUAUAUUCA